UAUCUGCUCUUGGUUAUGCUUCGUGCGCAUAGAGUUGUCUUAAAAAUUGCCAUGCUAGUGUGGAGUGGAUGCUAUCUGUGGGAACACAUGGUGAACCUAGUGCCAAAUUAUGGCUGAUCAGGAUUCGAUGCUACAGCAUUGCCUGCAUUCUUAGCUCUGAUUUAUUUGGGGGGUAACCCUCCUAAAUUAAGGUCUUAAUUUGCUACAGAAAAUACUAUUUUGAUCCUUGUCUUUUCCCAUCCACAAUAAAUCCCCAGAAAAUCCAACGCAUACAUGGCCGGGGAAGUUCCAACUCUGGAUUCUGUUUAACAUUAUGGACACCCCACCACAACCUUUAAGAACAACCAUGGCCUGAUAAAAAAUUUCCACUGUUUCAACAAAAAUGGCAGUAGCCCUAACCAUUUCUUGCCCUAAAUCCAAAACCCUGCAGAAACCAUCCUCUUUAAAAGUCUUAAAUUCUAGUUUUCUUGGUGGGCCCCUGAAGGAUGUUUCUUCUCAGUUAAAGUCCAGAAGGGAAAGAACAGACAAGUUCAGCUUGGUGAUUGCUGCUCCAAGCAACACCUCAACCAGCACCUGCACCAACAGUGGUGGCGGCGGUGGCAGGUUUUAUCUGAACUUUACAGGGUUUCCUUUCCCUCUUGGUCCUUUCCUUAAUAGGCGCACUAUAAGGACUGAGGUAACUUUCUCUAUCUUCAGCUUGGUUGUUAAGGAUUUUGUUCAAGAAUAAUGGAGAAUGGCUUAAGUUUUGAUAAUUAUGACUUUAAUAUACUUGUGCACAUAUGUCCUUUGCUGUGUGUAUUGACAAAACUUGUCUGUUUUCAAGUUUUAUCACUCCCAGUCUGUUGUACUUGCCAUCUCACAAAAUUUAUGUACCUGUAAAGUCACUGUUUGAUGUAUGAUCUUGUUUCUGCUUUUUAAUUCUUGAUGUGCAAGUUAGAGGUGGUUGAUGUUCUUGCUUGCUUGGCGGGCUUAUACUUUAUUCUGCAUUGCUGCACAUUGCUAACUAUAAUCAGGUAAACCAUCGUUCUAGCAGGUGUUUUGCACUUCACAUUUACAUCAAACAGUGAAGUGGAUUGGGCAUUUGGAACCUUCUUCUUAGUUAAUAUGUUUUCCUAAUACUGAAAGUUUUUGUAAAGGAAAAUAUAAAGAACUUAUACUUUAGGAGGUCUCCAAUAAAUGUCUUUUAUAUAAAGAAACACAGGACUUCUUAACUUUGUUCAGCUACUUAAUUCAAUGCUUUAUAAGGAAAGCUGUUUCAAUUUCAAUUUAUGGUUGAACUUUGCUACUUCUUUACAUACCAUUAGAAAAUUAUGGAAGUUCUUUAUUGAUAAACUUCGAAAAUCUUGUAUUUGAAAUAGCCCAGAAGAAUGGCAGGUAUAUUAACAGCUUCAAAGAAGGAUGCUUUUUCUAGCAAUUUCUUUUCCUUGUAGAGCCUUUGGGUUCUACCCUGUUUGAGUUUGUCUCAUUCUUUCAAAAACUUUAAUAUAAAAUCACUUUGUAGAAUUAAAAUUUCAUGAAUUUAUAAAUUCUGCAUUUGGAACUGGAAACCAAUAAACAUAUAUGGAUAAUGCAAUCUGGAUCAUAGAACCCCUGAAUACUGGAGUUCCAUUCCAUGACUGAAUAUGAGACCAAAGACUUCAGCCUGAGAGAUGGAUAAUAUGUUGAGUAAAUUGUUCCGUUUCAGUGUCAUAUGCCUUGAUAAAAUGGGAAGCAUCUCUAGAUGAAUUCGUGGAGCAGCAGUUCCUUCAAAAUGAGGUCCUCAUUUUAAACCCCACUUGGGGAAAUGCCAUCAGUCUAGAAAAAAAGAAAUAUUCUUUGUUCUGAUUAAACUACUCCAAUUAGUAGAGAAAGAGUUGUAUUUGAUAUGCAUGGAAAACAUAAGUAUUGUAAAAGGCACAAUUCUUUUGUAUGCUAAUGUAAACUGUAGCUAGAAGGUCUGUUAUCUUCUGUUUUAUGUCUUUAGGCUGUGAAGGGUUGUAUAUGGCUAUUCGAACAAGAGCAAGCAUUAGGCUUCAGCAGCGUGUCAACUAACAUUCGAAUGACAGUCAUCAAACUCAAAUCUGGAGGAUUAUGGCUCCACGCACCCCUUGCUCCAACGAAGGAGUGUAUUCAGCAGCAUAUGAUACAUGAAGUAGGAGAUGCAAAAUGACUAUUCCUGUUGAACCUGUUAAAGGAGAUGUAACAUCUAUGUCUCUGUUUACGUUGCCUACAUAUAUGAAAACCAACAGUUGGAUGCAAAGUUCCUGAAAAGGCCUAAAAGGUGAAAACAACUACAGACCAUCAAUCUGCCUGGUUAUAGUAUGCCGUGAUUGGUACUAUCAAACCAAAAGAUCAGGGAUUGGAUUAAUAGUAUUGUCCGAGACUGGAAAUUCAAGAGGAUAAUUCCUUGCUCCAAUUAACACAGGCAGGUCUGAAUUUUUAGCCGCGUUUGCAUUCCUAGAUGACCUCUUGGGAGAGCGAUAUGUUACUCGGCCUUCACUUUCUCUUCUAUUUACAUCAAUUAUGGGGAAGGCGGCGAGUUACUUCCCACCGGAUGACAUGAAGACCUUAUCAUCUCUUGAUCAGUUCUUGGUCUCGGUGGGAGCAGUGAAGAAGACUGUCUCAGGCCGGAAGAAGACAGCAUGCAUGACAGAUAAAUUUAGCCAAUGAGUUUCGCUACCAUAAAUUUACACACAUGUAUAUGCAGUGUUUGAUAAAUCAUCAUUGCCCUAGCAUAAAAUACAUAGAUUUGAUGUCCCUAGCUUUAGAUGUUGUAAAUGAUACGAGAUUCAAAAGGUUGUAGUGUCGAAGUAGCCUUGUUCUUGGAGUGCUUUAUACCAUUAAAAGCAGAUCAUUCCUCCAUCAAACAGGUUUUAUUUGUUUUCUACGGCUUUAUCUUGCCAUUUAAGCAAAUGAAUGGUUAUUAGUUACCGGAAACCCUAAGGGGUUUCUUCUGCUUAAGGACUAUAUCUAGUGACAAUUGAUUGAGAGCUAUAGCUCAUUGGCUGAGGCUCGAGUUUUCUAACAAUGACAAUACUAGUUGAUACAA